UAAGUAGGACAGAUGGCCGCUGCCACAAUGCCGAAAGGCAGUGGGAGAGGAAAGUCCGGGCUUCACAGGGCAGGAUGCCAGAUAACGUCUGGCGGAGGCGACUCCAGGGACAGUGCAACAGAAAUGUACCGCCGGCAGAUGCCGGUAAGGGUGGAAGGGCAGUGUAAGAGACUACCGCCUGCCUGGCAACAGACAGGGCACAUGUAAACCCCAUCCGAAGCAAGACUGAACAGAAAGCGAAAGGCGGCCCGUCUGCUUUCGGGUAGGUCGCUUGAGCCAAACGGCGACGUUUGGCCUAGAUGGAUGGCCAUCCACGACAUAACCCGGCUUACCGUCCUGCUUAAGGA
rnacentral:RNase_P_RNA from 2 species